UACAGAGGGUGCGAGCGUUAAUCGGAAUUACUGGGCGUAAGCGCGCGUAGGCGGCUUUGCAAGUCGGGUGUGAAAUCCCCAGGCUUAACCUGGGAACUGCAUUCGAGACUGCAUUGCUAGAGUAUGGGAGAGGGAAGUGGAAUUUCAGGUGUAGCGGUGAAAUGCGUAGAUAUCUGAAGGAACAUCAGUGGCGAAAGCGACUUCCUGGACCAAUACUGACGCUCAUGUGCGAAAGCGUGGGGAGCAAACAGG
rnacentral:rRNA from 1 species